rnacentral:rRNA from 2 species
UGGAUCCAGACUUUGAUCAUGGCUCAGGAUGAACGCUAGCUACAGGCUUAACACAUGCAAGUCGAGGGGAAACGAUAGAGAAAGCUUGCUUUUUCUAGGCGUCGACCGGCGCACGGGUGAGUAACGCGUAUCCAGCCUGCCCAUCACUUGGGGAUAACCUUGCGAAAGUAAGACUAAUACCCAAUGAUAUCUCAAGAAGGCAUCUGAAUGAGAUUAAAGAUUUAUCGGUGAUGGAUGGGGAUGCGUCUGAUUAGCUUGUUGGCGGGGUAACGGCCCACCAAGGCUACGAUCAGUAGGGGUUCUGAGAGGAAGGUCCCCCACAUUGGAACUGAGACACGGUCCAAACUCCUACGGGAGGCAGCAGUGAGGAAUAUUGGUCAAUGGGCGAGAGCCUGAACCAGCCAAGUAGCGUGCAGGAUGACGGCCCUAUGGGUUGUAAACUGCUUUUAUAAGGGAAUAAAGUGAGCCUCGUGAGGCUUUUUGCAUGUACCUUAUGAACAAGGACCGGCUAAUUCCGUGCCAGCAGCCGCGGUAAUACGGAAGGUCCGGGCGUUAUCCGGAUUUAUUGGGUUUAAAGGGAGCGUAGGCCGGAGAUUAAGCGUGUUGUGAAAUGUAGAUGCUCAACAUCUGCACUGCAGCGCGAACUGGUUUCCUUGAGUACGCACAAAGUGGGCGGAAUUCGUGGUGUAGCGGUGAAAUGCUUAGAUAUCACGAAGAACUCCGAUUGCGAAGGCAGCUCACUGGAGCGCAACUGACGCUGAAGCUCGAAAGUGCGGGUAUCGAACAGGAUUAGAUACCCUGGUAGUCCGCACGGUAAACGAUGGAUGCCCGCUGUUGGUCUGAAUAGGUCAGCGGCCAAGCGAAAGCAUUAAGCAUCCCACCUGGGGAGUACGCCGGCAACGGUGCAACUCAAAGGAAUUGACGGA